UAAACUAUCGGUCAUCACUAAUGACAAAAACGUAAACAAAGCAAAAAUCUACAAAUAUUGACGGAAAAAUUGAUUACAUUUGGUGGCUAUCGGUGACAUAGCCAAGCGCUCCCCCCAACCAUGGAAGCCCUCAAGAUGCUGCAGGGCACCACCCAUUCUCAGUCGGCAGGAGCCCCCUCCUCGCGACUAUAACGGUUCCAUCUCCCUCACUGGGAAAGCUUACUCACACGUUGUGGGUUUUACAAAGGUUUAAUAAAUAUCCCUUUAAGACCGAAACCUGUCCGCCGUCUCAAAUAUUUACGCGGUCAAAGCAGAGGAUUGGUUUUGCUGGAAAAGGGUACAGGCGCCGCGAAAACUAUGCUCUGCCAGUCAUGGAAACACGGCCCUCAAAGGAACAUACGCGAUGCGCAUGUCUAUGGUCAGUCCUGAGGAGCUCCAGGGGAAAAGAAGGGACAGGCCAAAAAGGCAAACAACGAGGACAAAUAAUGCUCUCGGGUCUAACUCCAGAUAAAUUCACAAACAGGGAAGUAAAUAUCAAUAUAUAUAAUCAAGGUACACGUGUAUUUAAAUUUUUUCUAAAUUUCAACCACUAUUGGGACGGGGCUGAAGGCGAUGAUAGCCCGGGCUGAAGACUUCUCCAAGAAGGUAACUGGCGCACUGCGGUGAGUUGCGCAAGGGUAGUCCGAGAUUCGGCUGCCAUACAAAAUGGCGGUACGUCUCAACGCCACGAUGCGACGGCUGGAAGUCACCGAGAUGAGGUGGACGUGGUAGACCUGAACGGACUCACCGGGAAAUCCUUUACGUCGUCGGCGUUGACUGCGAAAUGUGUUUAUUGUUGGGUGUCUGCGCGGGUCGAACGGACAACGGUUGGCAGCCAAGUCGAGCUGGUAGCUAUGCCGAAGUCGCGCAGAUAUCAGUAGAACUCCAACGUAAAUAUUCCGGGGCCCUUUGUGUUGGGACCCCGGCUGCCUUUAUAAAUGAU